CCUACGGGAGGCAGCAGUGAGGAAUAUUGGUCAAUGGACGAGAGUCUGAACCAGCCAAGUAGCGUGAAGGAUGACUGCCCUAUGGGUUGUAAACUUCUUUUAUAAAGGAAUAAAACGAGGCACGUGUGCGUCUUUGCAUGUACUUUAUGAAUAAGGAUCGGCUAACUCCGUGCCAGCAGCCGCGGUAAUACGGAGGGUCCGAGCGUUAUCCGGAUUUAUUGGGUUUAAAGGGAGCGUAGAUGGGUUGUUAAGUCAGUUGUGAAAGUUUGCGGCUCAACCGUAAAAUUGCAAUUGGUACUGGCGUUCUUGAGUACAGUUGAGGUAGGCGGAAUUCGUGGUGUAGCGGUGAAAUGCUUAGAUAUGACGAAGAACCCCGAUUGCGAAGGCAGCUUGCUAAACUGUGACUGACAUUGAUGCUCGAAAGUGUGGGUAUCGAACAGGAUUAGAUACCCUUGUAGUC
rnacentral:rRNA from 1 species